rnacentral:rRNA from 1 species
GUAGGUGGCAAGCGUUGUCCGGAAUUAUUGGGCGUAAAGCGCGCGCAGGCGGUUUUUUAAGUCUGAUGUGAAAGCCCACGGCUCAACCGUGGAGGGUCAUUGGAAACUGGAGAACUUGAGUACAGAAGAGGAAAGCGGAAUUCCACGUGUAGCGGUGAAAUGCGUAGAGAUGUGGAGGAACACCAGUGGCGAAGGCGGCUUUCUGGUCUGCAACUGACGCUGAGGCGCGAAAGCGUGGGGGAGCAAACAGGAUUAGAUACCCUGGUAGUCCACGCCGUAAACGAUGAGUGCUAAGUGUUAGGGGGUUUCCGCCCCUUAGUGCUGCAGCUAACGCAUUAAGCACUCCGCCUGGGAGUACGGCCGCAAGGCUG